GGCUCGUUGGUCUAGGGGUAUGAUUCUCGCUUUUUUGGUGAGAGAGGUCCCGGGUUCAAAUCCCGGAUGAGCCC
rnacentral:tRNA from 1 species